GAGAGAGCUGCUUCUUCGUUUACUCAACAGGACUGGCACAAUGUUUAUACAUCUCCACCAUAAUUAGGGUUUUGUUCUUUAGCAUUUGUUAGGUUUCAAGACAAACAUUGAAAACCCCAAUGUCAGGUCUCCAUCGAUCGUCCAGUUCCACAUUGAAGAAGGCCUCCCACCCCAAGAACUCCUCGACGAUCUCUGCAGUCGGUUUGUUUUGAAUGUACCGAAAGAAGAUCAACAAUCGUUCGAGAGGAUUUUAUUUCUUGUGGAGUAUGCACAUUGGUUCUAUGAGGACAAUUCAGUGGAAAAAAAUCCGUCACUGAAAUCAUUCACUCUGAAGGAGUUUACUUCUUUAAUGUUUAACAGUUGUGAUGUUUUGAGACCUUAUGUUGCCCAUAUAGAUGACAUUUUUAAGGACUUCAAUUCAUACAAGGUUCGAGUUCCUGUGACUGGGGCCAUCAUUUUAGACGACUCUUAUGAAUGGGCAUUAAGGAGAGGAAAACUGGAGCGUUAUAAUAAGCACAGAUGGGAUAACUCUAGGCAAUGCGGGACACAUUCCAACACACCCUCCUGGUCCAUAAUAUAUAGUAACCGGACAAAUGGCACACCAAUCAGAGUCCCAACCGAGCUUUGAUGCCCAAUUGAAAGUCUAGCCUACACUUCUCCUUAAAAUCCAGGUAUUAAGGAGAGAAAAACUAGAGCCUUAUAACCAGUACAGAUAGGGCAACUCUAGGUGAUAUGGGACAUAUUCUAACACAAAGCAUAGUAAUGUAUUUCUUUACAUUUUCCCACUUUCUCCUAUUUCCUACUAUUUCUUAUUUUUAUUUACUCUUUUACUCUCAUCACAUUCACUUUCACAUCAACUGAACAGAGCAUGAUGAUAUAACUAAAAAUAUUGUAGUUGAAAUCAUUUGUGAUUAGUAGGUUAUGUUUAUGAUGAGAAUCUAUGUUACAUGGACUCGGGUACGGGUGCAGGUAUGUAUCUAGAGGUCAGAUUCAUCAAACCAUAAAUCCAAGGGUACUCGGACUUGGCAAAGGCAAAAAAGUGUCAUAUUUUGAUAUUUUUAAUAAAGUAUGUGAGAUACAAUGGUAUUAUAUAUAAUUUACAGUGUUAAAAAGAUAUUUAUAGUAUUUAUACAACAAUAUGUGCAUAUGAUAAUGGUAAGGGUGCAACUCAGGCGGGCUUAACCCGAGGAACCCAUGCCCAGCCCGAAUUUUUUUAGGGCUUGGGCAACAAUGUCUUGUAAUCUGGACGAGCUUGGCUGGAUUUUUCCAGGCCUGGGUGGAAUCAGUGGCUAACCCAAGCAACCCGAAUCCGAAUUGUAUUUAAUAUAUUAUAUAAAUUAUAUAAUAUAUGUAUAAAUUUAAUAGCUAGCCCUUAAUUUUUUGUUUUUUUUUUUUUGCUGGUCUUUGGCCCUUGGAUUAGCAUCUUUUAUUUGGACCAUUAUAUUAAAACUAAAAACAAAACCUUACCUUAUCUAUUCUUUCUUCCCUCUCUCUCAGACUCUCAUUUCAUUUCUUCAUGAGAGUUGAAGAACAGCGGAGAUACCAACAACGACGAAGUGCAGCCACCAACAACGACGCCACCCUUUCGAUAAGCUUCGACGCCACACAAAACUGGUAGAUCCCUCUCUGUGUUUGUAUUUGUGCCUCAAUUUGUCUAUUUUUGGUCACUCGUCGUUCGAUUACC